GAAGGGAGCUUGCUCCCGGAUGUUAGCGGCGGACGGGUGAGUAACACGUGGGUAACCUGCCUGUAAGACUGGGAUAACUCCGGGAAACCGGAGCUAAUACCGGAUAGUUCCUUGAACCGCAUGGUUCAAGGAUGAAAGACGGUUUCGGCUGUCACUUACAGAUGGACCCGCGGCGCAUUAGCUAGUUGGUGGGGUAAUGGCUCACCAAGGCGACGAUGCGUAGCCGACCUGAGAGGGUGAUCGGCCACACUGGGACUGAGACACGGCCCAGACUCCUACGGGAGGCAGCAGUAGGGAAUCUUCCGCAAUGGACGAAAGUCUGACGGAGCAACGCCGCGUGAGUGAUGAAGGUUUUCGGAUCGUAAAGCUCUGUUGUUAGGGAAGAACAAGUGCGAGAGUAACUGCUCGCACCUUGACGGUACCUAACCAGAAAGCCACGGCUAACUACGUGCCAGCAGCCGCGGUAAUACGUAGGUGGCAAGCGUUGUCCGGAAUUAUUGGGCGUAAAGGGCUCGCAGGCGGUUUCUUAAGUCUGAUGUGAAAGCCCCCGGCUCAACCGGGGAGGGUCAUUGGAAACUGGGAAACUUGAGUGCAGAAGAGGAGAGUGGAAUUCCACGUGUAGCGGUGAAAUGCGUAGAGAUGUGGAGGAACACCAGUGGCGAAGGCGACUCUCUGGUCUGUAACUGACGCUGAGGAGCGAAAGCGUGGGGAGCGAACAGGAUUAGAUACCCUGGUAGUCCACGCCGUAAACGAUGAGUGCUAAGUGUUAGGGGGUUUCCGCCCCUUAGUGCUGCAGCUAACGCAUUAAGCACUCCGCCUGGGGGAGUACGGUCCGCAAGACUG
rnacentral:rRNA from 1 species